rnacentral:lncRNA from 1 species
UGCCUGCCCCGCCGCUGGGUGCCGAGGCGCGCUCCUUCUUUGGGCGUCAACCAGGCAAUCGGGAACAACGCCGGCCAAGUGUGGACCAAUCAUACUGCAGCCCAGCGAGUGCCUGCUGUCCUCCGCCAAUCAUGAGACUGGAGGGCCGGCUAAGGCCUGGCACCAAUCAGCUCUGCAACUGGGCGGAAUUUCUGUUUCUCCCAGCCAAUCAUGCGACUCAAGGAGAAUUUCCGUCGCUGGGACCCGUCUCCUCCAAUCAAUGGCCUUCGGAGGCGGGCGGGCGGCCGCUCAAUCUCCCAUCCCUUCUGCUUUUGGAUAAGGUUUUAUUUUCCGCUUUUUAAGUAGAGGCUCCUUGGAGCCUCGAUGGAGUACUGUUCUCAGGCGCGACCAGAGAAAGGCCUGUCGCUGACGGGCCUAGCUACCCCUGGGGCGCCGAGGAGGAAAUGGCGGGAAGGGGCCGCAGGCCUGGGCGUGUCCGGGGACGUGGGGCGUCAGCCGAGGCUGGCUGGUGGUCAGGAGAGAGUGUGCCUCACCCCUGGAAAAAAGCUAUGUCCCCAAAUCCGAGAGCAUUUUAGACUGCACAUGUCCUUUCUCCAUCAGGCCCAGAUGGCUUCUGCCAAGUUCACAUUUCCUUGGUGCCAAAUAAGUCCCAUGGCUAUACCUCAGUUUCUCAGGGGUAUGUGCUGUUCAUCUGGAAGAGGUGCCAUAUUUGGGUAAGCAAUAUACAAUCUAAAACAGUAGGUAGGUCUUUGGAGAGCAGGUGUUAGCUUUAUGGCCUGGGGUGGGGUGGGUAAUACACACCUGCAGGUACGAUGGCUAUAUCCCAAAGGGAAGUAAUUAAGUAUUUUACCUGCCGCAGGAACAGUAGCAGACUACCAUUCAGCAGGCAAGGAGCUAUCUCCUGUGAUUUGUUCAGUGAAAUAAGAAAGCAUCAUUCUAUUAACUGAGGGGAAGGAUAAAGUCCUAAAACUAUAUUUUCAAAAAUCAAAUUAUUCUUUUUUGAAUGUGAAUUAAAAAGCAAUGUUCCUUCUCAUUCUUUCAGAAAAAAAAAAAAAAAAAACAGCUUCUGCAGUGAGUCUAUGCCUGGGUAACAACCAACACACAAAAAUGCAAGAGGAUCCCUCUCUGCCCCUGAAGCUUGCUGAACCAUUGGUAUCAAGACCAGCAUGGCCCUCAGGAUACAGAAUGAAUACCUUUCCUGUUUCUGCUCCUGAGAAUAAUGCAGGCAGUUUCUGGCAGGAUGGUUUCUCUACAGGAAAGAGCUUGUGAAGUAGAAAAAUCAUUUGGUAACUGCACUUGGAAGGGUCUGAGUGUCAUCCUUUGCUGAUUUUGCUUUUUUUUUUUUAAAUAUAUAUUUAUUUUUUACUUUAUUUUAUUUUUAUGUGGUGCUGAGGAUUGAACCCAGUGAGUGCCUCAUGUGAACUGGGUGAACACUCUACUACUGAGCCACAACCCCAGCCCUACCUUUUCUUUUUAUACAUUAAAAUUGUAAUGCAUCUUCAUUACAAAAAUGACUCAAAUAAAUACAUAAAGUAAAUAAGGCA